AGAAGGAGAAGAAGAAACAGACAUUGGCUUCAUCUUGUGCUCUGGAUACAAACUGUUAAAAAAAUAACCCCAACCAACCACCCUCUGCCUCUACACCGAGCAGUUCAAUCACCAGCGGAGAAAAGUAAAGUUAAAGUGGAUGGGGGAGAGUGAGUUUGGGGAAGUUUGGAGUUGGUGGAGCUUGAAAGUCCCUGAUGGAGCAGCUUGGACUGCAGCAUGGAGUGAUGGUCGAUCUGGCAGGAGGACUAGAAAAUGCUAACGCACCGCCUCAGGCUGUUUCAAUAUAUUUACUGUACAGGAGUAUGUAAGCAAUGUUAGCCUUGCUGUUGGCCUGCAAUCAGUACGCCCUCCCUCCUGAAUGGUUUACACCGUCUUUUCCCGGCUGAUCCCGGAGCAUCAUAUAGAUGUUGGAACUAAUAUUCAGUAACUUACCCGACUACACCACUCUGCUUCACCACACAUCAGACCUUUGCAUCGAAACAAUCAUCCAUGUGUGUCCAUGAAGAAAAUCAGCAUCACAGUAAUCUGCUCACAGCCAGGGAGUCGUCCACCCACCAGUCUGUCUCUCCCUCGCUUUAUUACUCCCUCCUCUGCACCCCCCGUCUCUCUGCCUACCAAACUAAAUGUGGCACCUCCAGCGCACCCUGAAGAGACUGGAAUCAGGACCAGGUCUGAAUGGAUCCACUCAGUCUCCUCUCAUUGAUUGAACCUGACUGGCACAACAAUGAAUCCCAUCUGGCACCGCGGAGGCUCUAAAACUAUAAACUCUCAAACUAAAAGAAAAGAGGAUUAUUUCCAUUAACAUUUCAAUGAACGGUGGAGUCUGCAGAUUUGCACUUGCACACUGACAUAAUACGCUCAUGGGAACAUGACAGAGAUGAAACAUGUUACAGUAAUAUAAGUUAUCAGCAUCAGCAGCAGAAAGUAUAUCAGUGUAUUGAAGCUGAUGUCUCCUAUGUAGACACGGUUUAAUACUGUACAAUGAUACUGUAAUGACCUGACACGUAGGAAACUAUUGAAUAAAAAUGUUCA